rnacentral:rRNA from 1 species
GACGAACGCUGGCGGCGUGCCUAAUACAUGCAAGUAGAACGCAGUUGAGAACGGGUGCGUAACGCGUAGGUAACUGCCUGGUAGCGGGGGGUAACUAUUGGAAACGAUAGCUAAUACCGCAUACUACCAGAUGGAACUGCGUUGUAGUAGCUAGUUGGUUAGGUAACGGCUCACCAGGGCAACGAUAUAUAGCCGACCGGAGAGGGUGAUCGGCCCCACUGGGACGGAGACACGGCCCAGACUCCUACGGGAGGCAGCAGUAGGGAAUCUUCGGCAAUGGGGGGAACCCUGACCGAGCAACGCCGCGUGAGUGAAGAAGGUUUUCGGAUCGUAAAGCUCUGUUGUUAAGGAAGCGUUACUUAACCAGAAAGGGACGGUUAACUACGUGCCAGCAGCCGCGGUAAAC